AGAAGGAGUGGACUAUGGAUUGGAUGGUUUCAUACCUCUUUGAAGGAUCGUUUAAGAAGCAAGCCAAAUUCAACCGAUUUGUACAGCAGUGGAAAGAAACCGUGACACUAACCGUUGAGCCUGUCCCGGUACAUUCAGAGAAGGCUACAGUGGAAUCAAGAAUGAAUAUCUGCCGAAGAUUUUAAGAUGGCUUUAAGAUCCUAGUACUCACAGUGCUUAGACUGACAAAGGAAAUCUCCCCUUGCAGAUCUGGCUUUGGAGGAAAGAGAGGCUGCCCUCACCGAAGAUGUCCCUGGGAUUGAUUUCAGAGCUGCAAUCCUGCUAUUGCCGAUCCUGUUCAGGGAGAAAAAUGACAUUCUCAUCAUACUUGGAGAGGUGUGUAAUUU